CCUACGGGAGGCAGCAGUGAGGAAUAUUGGUCAAUGGUCGGGAGACUGAACCAGCCAAGCCGCGUGAGGGAGGAAGGUACAGAGUAUCGUAAACCUCUUUUGUCAGGGAACAAAGGCGGGGACGUGUCCCCGGAUGAGUGUACCUGAAGAAAAAGCAUCGGCUAACUCCGUGCCAGCAGCCGCGGUAAUACGGAGGAUGCGAGCGUUAUCCGGAUUUAUUGGGUUUAAAGGGUGCGCAGGCGGUCUGUUAAGUCAGCGGUCAAAGCACGGGGCACAACCCCGGCCCGCCGUUGAAACUGGCAGUCGCGAGUUGGAGAGAAGUAUGCGGAAUGCGCGGUGUAGCGGUGAAAUGCAUAGAUAUCGCGCAGAACUCCGAUUGCGAAGGCAGCAUGCCGGCUCCACACUGACGCUGAGGCACGAAAGCGUGGGUAUCGAACAGGAUUAGAUACCCGGGUAGUC
rnacentral:rRNA from 1 species